rnacentral:lncRNA from 1 species
GGGGAGCAGUGACCCUCGGCUGGCCCCGCCUUCUUCCUGCUCUGGUGAAGUGGAGUCCCCCUCCCCAUCUGACAGAGAGGGCGUCGAGGCCAGAGGCUGCGUGGCCCCUCAGGACUGGGGUGGAGCCGGCCUGUUCCCAAGCUCCCUCCAACCUGGGGGUCUGCUGGACGUUGACCCUUGCUCAUCCUGUCUCUGCUGGCCUCUCACCUGGUGCCAGUGGGGUCACCUGGGCCGGGCUCUGCGCACGCCCAAGAGGUGCCAGGGUGUGGUAGCUCUGGAGGUGUCCAGCUGAGCUGGCCAGAGCCGCUGACCACACACCUCCACACCCAGGGAAGUGUGGGCCUCGUGGGGGCGCUGGACCCCAGGCCUGUUUGCUUGGAGGAGCCGGAGGUCUUAGUGGCCGUGUCCAGCCCGAGGCCCGGAGCAGCCCUGAGAAGUGUCUUGGUGGCCGUGGGCCAGUCGCCCAUCCUGGGUGGCCGCAGAUAACGAUCCUGUGUUCCAGGAAGCCGAAAGCCAAACACCCCUCCCCCCGCCGGACCCUGUGGCUGCAAUGGCACCUCCUAGGGAAG